rnacentral:rRNA from 1 species
GACGAACGCUGGCGGCGUGCCUAAUACAUGCAAGUAGAACGCACAGUUUAUACCGUAGCUUGCUACACCAUAGACUGUGAGUUGCGAACGGGUGAGUAACGCGUAGGUAACCUGCCUGGUAGCGGGGGAUAACUAUUGGAAACGAUAGCUAAUACCGCAUAAUAUUAAUUAUUGCAUGAUAAUUGAUUGAAAGAUGCAACUGCAUCACUACCAGAUGGACCUGCGUUGUAUUAGCUAGUAGGUGAGGUAACGGCUCACCUAGGCGACGAUACAUAGCCGACCUGAGAGGGUGAUCGGCCACACUGGGACUGAGACACGGCCCAGACUCCUACGGGAGGCAGCAGUAGGGAAUCUUCGGCAAUGGACGAAAGUCUGACCGAGCAACGCCGCGGGAGUGAAGAAGGUUUUCGGAUCGUAAAGCUCUGUUGUAAGAGAAGAACGGGUGUGAGAGUGGAAAGUUCACACUGUGACGGUAUCUUACCAGAAAGAGACGGCUAACUACGUG